GCUGGUCGACAUCCACCCACGAAAGUAGACUUUUCAACGAUUUCCACGAUACUACGAUUCGAUGUCGAUCGGUCGAAACCGAGCAAACGCAGGGAAGCACGUUAUUGACUGGACUACUGAUCGACCUCGACUUUACCUGAAGUCGUACACCACGACGAGGACGAGGACGUGGAUGAGAUAAGCGUGCAACUCUCGAAGGAGGAGAGAACUGGCCUCUGUAGAGCGGCUACGAGACCAGGCGAGGAUCGAGUGAGUGAGGAUGGACUGACAGACGUGCGGGCGUACGCACGAGUCAAUGAAGUUGGCUCCUUUGGGAAUCUUCUCCGUUUGGAUCGGCCUAGCGCUUUCUUCCUCAUGGUUCUGAAGCUUCGUCUGUGUCAGCCAAGUUACUAUAUUCGAGUGACUGAGGGUUAACAACGUUGCUGGUUUGUGCUGAAACUAACACGUGCCGCCGGC
rnacentral:misc_RNA from 1 species